CAGUAGCCACGGGAACACGAAGGGUGCAAGCGUUACUCGGAAUUACUGGGCGUAAAGCGUGCGUAGGUGGUGGUUUAAGUCCGUUGUGAAAGCCCUGGGCUCAACCUGGGAAUUGCAGUGGAUACUGGGUCACUAGAGUGUGGUAGAGGAUAGUGGAAUUUCCGGCGUAGCGGUGAAAUGCGUAGAUAUAGGAAGGAACACCAGUGGCGAAGGCGACCACCUGGGCUCAUACUGACACUGAGGUGCGAAAGCGUGGGGAGCAAACAGGAUUAGAUACCCCUGUAGUCCCUGUCUCUUAUAC
rnacentral:rRNA from 1 species